UGUUCCGUUGCCCAUUGUCUAAGCCUUUAGUGUGCCAUUUUAGGUGUGCCACUUCUUGUGCGAAAGUUUUGAGUAGCGGUUUUGACACUUUUUAUGGGUUUUAAUAUAAUUUUAUUCAAAAUGAAAUUUGGGGUAAACAUUAUGGCCUUUUAUACCCUUUUCCAUAUUUUUACGUCUGAACAUCAAGGCCAACGUAAAGGCAAACCGCUGAGGGAAUGCCGCUGGUGCCGCUGCUCUUCCCUCCGCCGCCGUCGAUUAAUAACAGAGAAUGCAGAAUCAUCAAAGCCGGACGUUUCAACAAUUCACAAUCUCUAAUUUCUAAAUCAUAAAUAGCACAGAGAUAACAUCUCCACCGUUGCCAAGUAAGUUUCUCUUUUUCACCUUUUCCAAAUUAUGGGAUAAUGGAGGAUCUCAAGUGAGUAGGGGCUUGGAAAGUUUUAAUUUCAAUUGCGUUCCUGUAAUUUUCCUUAAACAAAAUAUAGGGCUUUCACUUUGUUCAGUGUAAUUGAUCUUUAAUCAACUUGCAAUUAAUCUCUGAACUAUAACAUUACGGAUAAUUCAUGAUGGAGGAAGCGGUUGAAUCUAUGGAAGCGGUUAUUAACGGUUACAUCCGGCCAUUGUGAUUUAUCCAAGGGCUUAAAAAGUGGUUUCAAAAUUCAUUUUGAGGCGACAACCGCAUUUCCGGCGCAGGCGACAGUUAUACUAUUGAAAGGAAUUUCCUUGAUAAUGGGUGCACUACUUGCAUGAGUCACAACACAAUACUGAUGCAUUAUAUUGGUAAGUUAUUCUGAACUAAUUACAUGAGUCAUAAAAAUAGGUGCUUCCAGGAGAAUUAUUUAAAAUCUCUUAAACAAACACUUUUUUCCUGUUCGAAUAAAGUGAAUAACGUUUUCAUUUUCAUUAAAUUUUUCUUUUAAAAAUAAUUUUCAUGAUGUUUCCCUUUUUGUGUGUUUUACGGUUUUCCUUUUUCAUUGUUAGUUUUUGGCAUAUAUAUGAAGAUCAUAGGGUUGAUAAAGUUAUUAAAAAUAAUUUUUGGAAUUGCAUAUUUAAUUUUUUUUUUAAUUAAUCAAGAUUUUGAGUUUUGAUUGAGGAAGGUAUAGAAAUUGGGUACUCUUAAAGUCGAAAAGUUUUCAAAUUUAAGUCAGAUAAUUUGAGACGGUUAUUUUCUUUGUUUGUAAAUCUUGUAUUUUGCAAAUGGAAUAAUCAGCCAUCCGGUCAGAUUAUGCAUUUUCUAAUAGAAAUGGAAUUCCUCUUUCAAAUGCAUUUCCUCUUUCUUUUCUUAAUUUGAGGCUAUGAUUAAGUUUGGUUACUUAGUGUUCCUUUAAAAAAUGAUCCAAUAUAUCUUGCAACACAUAAAAUCUCAUAUAUAUGCCAAAAUAGUUUGUUUUUUUAUUUAUUAUUUUAUUAAAAAAUCACUUGAUAUUGUUCUAUCUUUAAUAUUAGAUACAUCUUUUGAAGCAAAAAGCCUUGAUGUUGAAAGUAUUAGCGUGUUUUUAGAUGUUUUUUAUUGUUUAAUUUAAUCUUUAUAAUGAACUGGCUAAGUUAAUAAUGCGAAUUUUGUCUUGUCGUAUUAACUCUCUAUCCCCAAUUGGGUGUUUAUUGCCCCUUUAUGGGUGUUUAUAUCACAUAUGGCGAGUUUUCUUUAUCACGUUUACUUAUACAAGAGGGGUUUCUCAAAUAGCCCCUCUAGCUCACAUCCUUCCUCGGUUAUCUCAUUGGACACCGCUACUGUCAGGUAAGAUCGAAUUAAUUUUAUUAUUGUUCAUAAUUUAAAUAAUCAGGUAUUCUAUUAUGGUGAUUGUUGCUCUGGAUGAUCUCGACAUUUCAAUUUUUGCUUUCCUACAAAAUCAAGGUAAUAUUUAUAGCACAUUAGCCGCUACCAACU